GGGGGAAUAUUGGACAAUGGGGGCAACCCUGAUCCAGCCAUGCCGCGUGAGUGAUGACGGCCUUAGGGUUGUAAAGCUCUUUUCUCCGGGACGAUAAUGACGGUACCGGAGGAAUAAGCCCCGGCUAACUUCGUGCCAGCAGCCGCGGUAAUACGAAGGGGGCUAGCGUUGCUCGGAAUCACUGGGCGUAAAGGGCGCGUAGGCGGCUGAUUUAGUCGAGGGUGAAAGCCUGUGGCUCAACCACAGAAUUGCCUUCGAUACUGGUUGGCUUGAGACCGGAAGAGGACAGCGGAACUGCGAGUGUAGAGGUGAAAUUCGUAGAUAUUCGCAAGAACACCAGUGGCGAAGGCGGCUGUCUGGUCCGGUUCUGACGCUGAGGCGCGAAAGCGUGGGGAGCAAACAGGAUUAGAUACCCUGGUAGUCCACGCUGUAAACGAUGAAUGCUAGCCGUUGGUCUGCAUGCAGGUCAGUGGCGCCGCUAACGCAUUAAGCAUUCCGCCU
rnacentral:rRNA from 1 species